rnacentral:lncRNA from 1 species
UAUAUGGUUUAGGAAAGGGCUUGUCUCUUUAAAAACAGUCACAAGCCAUUUGCUAAGCAAAACAUGAAAUGUAUUAUUUACUGUAGUCCUCUAGUACUUUUCUUUGCAUUUUGUGCAAUGCAACCAGUCAACAGUUACAUUUUGGCUCGUACCAAUUUGUGACACUACCGUUUGGAUUGUAUAGGACACCAACCAACUAACUUUCAACAAUUAUUAGACACAAAACCCAGCUACUUCAGGUAAGAAGUUGUUCAAAGCACAAUCUUUUUCUUCAGAAUCUUCAAAUUUUCCUCACAAUCACUGGAAGGCAAGAAUGAAGUAACACAAAGUCUCCUGAGGACAUCUGACUCUCUGCAAAAGGCUGAUCGAUAUUAGUUUUGGUGACUACCUUACAAGUAUUCAUAAAAGGGGUUAUAAAAAAAGUUAUAUCUCAGUAUGUCCAGAAGAACAGCGUGGCACAAGACAAUGUGUGUAUAGUGAGAUGGCUGCAGCUAGAUGUUUUCCAAGUUCAUCAAACAUGUUUAUUGGGAAGAGGUCAGCGCAGUGUGAUGAUUCAGAGCUGACUGGACCCAGGGCCCCCGCCAACCCACCGCCUAGUCCAUGGGGCACCACUUGGAAAGAGGAACUGAAAAGAGCUGACGGCACACUUUGGGGGAUACGUGGUUCUUCCUUCUCGCAUUUUUCUUGGGAUAGUACAGCAAGCCAGAUCACACCCUCCUUGCUUGAUAGACACCUCACUUGCCUGGAGUGUUGUUGGUACCCCACCCAGUACAAAUAUUAACUUCUGUUUUUUUUCCAUUUUGGGGAUACGAAACAAGGAGAUGCUAUCCAGAACUAUUUCUACUAUUAGGAAAUGCUAUGAAAACUGCACAAAUGUCUUUUUGCUGUUUCUAUUAGUGCAUCCAAAGAAGAAAUACCUUUCUGAUUCUCAAGCAUUGGAUAUAGUAUUUGUGUUUAUGCUAUAAAUGGGUGGCACGGCAAGUACCGCUGUUGUCUCACAGUACCUGGGUGGUGCAGAAGGAUGUGGGUUUGAUCCCCACUCAGUCUAUGUGGAGUUUGCAUGUUCUCCCUGUGUCUGUGUGGAUUUCCUCUGGGUGCUCUGGUUUCCUCCCACAGUCCAAAGACAUGCUGUUCAGGUUCUCCCAUAGUGUGUGAGUGACAGAGACAGUGUGUGUGUGUUCCACUGAUGUAUGGAUGAGUGACCCAUUGUAAGUAGUGUAUCUAACAGUGUAAAUCACCUUGGUGAAUAAGGUGUAUGGGAUGUUACUGCAUAGUAUCCAUUGUAAGUCGCUUUGGUGAAAACUCACACAUGCAGACUGAAACGCUUGUUCCAAAAGGGGUUGCAGCAAGCCAGAGCCUAACCCAGCAACCAAGGGCGUAAGGCUGGAGGGGGAGGGGACACACCCAGGACGGGAUACCAGUCUGACACAAGGCACUUCAAGUGGGACUCGAACCCCAAACCUAGCAGAGAGCAGGCAGAGGCCAAGCCCACUGCACCACCACCACACUCAUCUGUUUUGGAAAAAGCCUCUGCUAAAUAAAUAAAUGCGAAAUACAGAAAGUGGGACUCCA